GUCCAGACUCCUACGGGAGGCAGCAGUAGGGAAUAUUGCUCAAUGGGGGAAACCCUGAAGCAGCAACGCCGCGUGAAGGAAGAAGGCUUUCGGGUUGCAAACUUCUUUUGACAGGGAAGAGCAGAAGACGGUACCUGUCGAAUAAGCACCGGCUAACUCUGUGCCAGCAGCCGCGGUAAUACGGAGGGUGCAAGCGUUACUCGGAAUCACUGGGCGUAAAGAGCGCGUAGGCGGGAUAGCAAGUCAGAUGUGAAAUCCUAUGGCUUAACCAUAGAACUGCAUUUGAAACUGUUAUUCUAGAGUAUGGGAGAGGUAGGUGGAAUUCUUGGUGUAGGGGUAAAAUCCGUAGAGAUCAAGAGGAAUACUCAUUGCGAAGGCGACCUGCUAGAACAUAACUGACGCUGAUGCGCGAAAGCGUGGGGAGCAAACAGGAUUAGAUACCCUUGUAA
rnacentral:rRNA from 1 species